UACGUAGGGUGCGAGCGUUGUCCGGAAUUACUGGGCGUAAAGAGCUCGUAGGUGGUUUGUCGCGUCGUCUGUGAAAUUCCGGGGCUUAACUUCGGGCGUGCAGGCGAUACGGGCAAUACUUGAGUGCUGUAGGGGAGACUGGAAUUCCUGGUGUAGCGGUGGAAUGCGCAGAUAUCAGGAGGAACACCGAUGGCGAAGGCAGGUCUCUGGGCAGUAACUGACGCUGAGAAGCGAAAGCAUGGGUAGCGAACAGGAUUAGA
rnacentral:rRNA from 1 species